rnacentral:rRNA from 1 species
CCUACGGGGGGCUGCAGUGGGGAAUUUUGGACAAUGGGGGCAACCCUGAUCCAGCCAUUCCGCGUGAGUGAAGAAGGCCUUCGGGUUGUAAAGCUCUUUCGGCCGGGAAGAAAUCGCAUCUCCUAAUACGGGGUGUGGAUGACGGUACCGGAAGAAGAAGCACCGGCUAACUACGUGCCAGCAGCCGCGGUAAUACGUAGGGUGCACGCGUUAAUCGGAGUUACUGGGCGUCAAGCUUGCGCAGGUGUCAAAUCCCCGGGCUUACCCUGGGAACGGCGUUUGUGACUGGUGGGCUUGAGUGCGGCAGAGGGGGGUGGAAUUCCACGUGUAGCAGUGAAAUGCGUAGAGAUGUGGAGGAACACCGAUGGCGAAGGCAGCCCCCUGGGUCGACACUGACGCUCAUGCACGAAAGCGUGGGGAGCAAACAGGAUUAGAUACCCUGGUAGUC